GGGAAUUAGGGUUCGAUUCCGGAGAGGGAGCCUGAGAGAUAGCUACCACUUCUACGGAGGGCAGCAGGCGCGUAAAUUGCCCAAUGCCAAAUCGGCGAGGCAGCGAAGAAAAAUAGCGAUCCCGCCUCAUUGAGUGCGGGAGUUGCAAUGUGUGGUAUUUACAACCACCAACGAGUAACAAUUGGAGGACAAGUCUGGUGCCAGCACCCGCGGUAAUUCCAGCUCCAAUAGCGUAUAUUAAUGUUGCUGCUGUUAAAGCGCUCGUAGUUGGACUCGGGACGCGAGGAUUCGGGCGCACUCGCGCCAGCUCUUUCGCGUCCUGUCACAGACGGAGCCGUGUUCCGCCCGCGUGCCUUCGCUGGCCCGCGGGCACCCGCAAGGGACCGGGCACGACAUGCCCAUCGAACCGUCCGUCGUUCUCACCGUGAAUAAAACAGCGUGUUCAAGGCAGCCGUUCGGCCGCAUGACAAAGCAUGGAAUGACAGAGCAUCGACCAGCUGGUUGUGCUUUUGUUGGUUUUACUACCGAGUUGGGUAACUCGCGGUGCCGGCGCGGCCUCGGCCGCCCGGCGCCAGCACGGGAUUAACGGGGGUUGUCGGGGAAGGAAGUAUGCCGAAGUGAGAGGUGAAAUUCUGUGAUCUUCGGUGGACUAACAAAUGCGAAGGCGUCCUUCAAGUAUACCUUCAUCAAUCAAGAGCUCUAGCGUGGGGAACAAAAAUGAUUAGAUACCAUUGUAGUCCACCGCUGCAAACGAUGACGCCCAUGGAUCGGAUAGCAUCUUAUUCCGAUGGGAUCUUUUCGGCACUGCUCCCCUUCAACGCGAAAGCUGAGGCUUUGGUCUCAUGGGGAAGUACGUUCGCAAGGCUGAAACUUAAAGAAAUUGACGGAAUGGCACCACCAGACGUGGAGUGUGCGGUUUAAUUUGACUCAACACGGGAAACCUUACCAGGACAGGACAACGGAAUGAUUGACAGAUUGAUAGCUCUUUCUUGAUUCGUUUGACGGUGGUGCAUGGCCGCUUUUGGUCGGUGAAGUGAUUUGUUUGGUUGAUUCCUUUAACGGACGAGACCCAAUCCGCUUACUAGGUGCGCCAUCUCUGCGGCGCGCGCGGGCUCGCCCGUGCGCGUCGGAUAGCGACUCCUUCUUCGCGGCAUUCCAUGCGCCUUAGCAUGGUGGCAUUUUGGGCAACAGCAGGUCC
rnacentral:rRNA from 1 species